rnacentral:lncRNA from 1 species
GAGUCAUCUCAUGACACUUGAACAGAAGAGAAUCAUAACAUGGUUCUCAGAUACUUAGAUUCUGCUUCAUAUUUUAAUCUGUCUAGAUAGAGCUAUGAAGAAAUUGAUAUUUCUGUUUUAAACUUACACAGCUUUAUUGGAUGAUGACUCCUGGGAUCUCAGUGGUAGGCCUGGAUGAGACAGAGAUAAGCUUCCACUAUGAGGGCCUGGAAUGUAGUCAUUGUGGCCCUGGCAAAAUAUACUGUCAUCCUGGGAAUUACAAAAACACUGGAUACCAGAUGCUGCUGCACAAAUCAGAAACCUCAUCAACAUUGAAUCUUGUUCCUGACCUAGAGGAAGAAUAACGUAUGUGGAAACAAUCCGCAAAAUGUAAAAUGCUAUAAAAAUGCUAGUUUUUGUUAUUCGUGUAACAAUCUAUUUUAAUGAUUUUUUUUUUUUUUUUUUUUUUUUUUUUUUUUUUUUUGGUGGUCCCUAGCACAGCUCUUGCCCAGAGGAUUAAGACAGAUCAGCUUUGGUGAUAAACAUAUCUUUGUGCAAGUGUAGCCCUUGGCAACAAGAGGGGUAAUUGUUUAGAAACAAGUGCCUUCUGGUAAGAAAGAGAGCAAACAAGAGUGAAGGAUAGUUCCAAAUAGUUCUGAGAAAGGCCAGCCUUUCCAGCUCAAGAGAGGUAUUCUCAGGCUGUUGGUGAGGAGUGGUCUGUCGCCCAGAGGACCAAUUGGUUUGGAUGAAGCCAGACUGUAAAGCAUAUCAGGAAAGAGAGUCCUCUGGAAAUCUCUCUUUUUCCUUAAAUCUUUCAGGAUCGUUUUGAAAGUCCGAGGGUAGAACCUAUGGACCAUCCACAAUUUAGAAAACUCAGACUAGUCAGACGUUCAACAGAUGGAAGUGUCACUCACCCAAAGGCCAGGGGUAUGCUCACUUGGGAAGCCUCGUUGGCCGUGGGAGACUGAACUAUGGGAGGUGGUAGUAAUGGGGGAGACUCUCUUUUGGGAUUCCCCAGGGUCAGGAAGAGAUUACAGUUAACCAACAAAUGUGUGCAGUGGGUCGAGGUGAAGGAAAUAACUUCUGUGUGGAAGUUGGUGGGACACAGGCGACUGACAGUGCUAAUGAUAGGUCAGUGAUGUGUGUGUGUGUGUGUGUCGGUGCUGGUAGGGGAGUUGAAUGUGCGUGUAUGGAGGAGUUGUAAAAAAGAAGGUUUUUUUUUUUGUAGUCUCAUUUUUUUCUGUUUAUAAAAGAAAUACAAGAAUAUUGUAGAACAUAUGGGAAAAUAUAGAAAAGAAUAAAGAAGAAAAUUAAAAUCA